rnacentral:lncRNA from 1 species
CAGUGGUUGACGAAAAUACGGAGAGAUGCUGGAAAAUGAUUCAUAAUGCUGCUGAUUAAGAGUAAGAGAGCAUGUCACCACCUCAGGAACCUCCCAUAAGGAAUCUACCUCUCACCAUCUCAGAUACAUGAAGCAGAGAGUGAUACAGCAGCCACUGACCCCCAGUCCUACA